AGAAAUUUAGGUUAAUAAAACCAAAAGCCUUCAAAGCUUUCAAUAAGAGUUCAAAUCUUUUAACUUCUG
rnacentral:tRNA from 1 species